GUGUCAGCAGCCGCGGUAAUACAGAGGGUGCGAGCGUUAAUCGGAAUUACUGGGCGUAAAGGGCGCGUAGGCGGUUUAUCAAGUGAGAUGUGAAAUCCCCGGGCUUAACCUGGGAACUGCAUCUUAAACUGGUGAGCUGGAGUACUGUAGAGGACAGUGGAAUUUCCGGUGUAGCGGUGAAAUGCGUAGAGAUCGGAAGGAACAUCAGUGGCGAAGGCGACUGUCUGGACAGAUACUGACGCUGAGGCGCGAAAGCGUGGGGAGCAAACAGGAUUAGAAACCCCAGUAGUCC
rnacentral:rRNA from 1 species